UGGGGAAUAUUGGGCAAUGGGCGAAAGCCUGACCCAGCAACGCCGCGUGAAGGAAGAAGGUCUUCGGAUUGUAAACUUCUUUUAUGAGGGACGAAGAACGUGACGGUACCUCAUGAAUAAGCCACGGCUAACUACGUGCCAGCAGCCGCGGUAAUACGUAGGUGGCAAGCGUUAUCCGGAUUUACUGGGUGUAAAGGGCGCGUAGGCGGGGAUGCAAGUCAGAUGUGAAAUCUAUGGGCUUAACCCAUAAACUGCAUUUGAAACUGUAUCUCUUGAGUGCUGGAGAGGUAGAUGGAAUUCCUUGUGUAGCGGUGAAAUGCGUAGAUAUAAGGAAGAACACCAGUGGCGAAGGCGAUCUACUGGACAGUAACUGACGCUGAGGCGCGAAAGCGUGGGGAGCAAACAGG
rnacentral:rRNA from 1 species